rnacentral:rRNA from 1 species
GAUCGCAUGAUCAACUUAUAAAAGGCGGCGUAAGCUGUCGCUAUGGGAUGGCCCCGCGGUGCAUUAGCUAGUUGGUAAGGUAACGGCUUACCAAGGCAAUGAUGCAUAGCCGAGUUGAGAGACUGAUCGGCCACAUUGGGACUGAGACACGGCCCAAACUCCUACGGGAGGCAGCAGUAGGGAAUCUUCCACAAUGGACGCAAGUCUGAUGGAGCAACGCCCCGUGAGUGAAGAAGGUUUUCGGAUCGUAAAGCUCUGUUGUUGGUGAAAAAAGAUAGAG